GUGAAUCAUCGAAUCUUUGAACGCAAAUUGCACUCUCUUCGGAGAGUAUGCCCGUUUGAGGGUGAGCCUAAAAAAAUUCGACAUAGUUGCUGUUUCGUGGUGAAAUUCGUCGGAAAUUGGGUCAUCUUAGACCUUUGGGUUUUAAGCGGCUUAAAAUUUUCUUUACGAUUCAACGAAUGAUUGUAUGAUUUUACUUAUUACACGUUUAAGGUAAUGAUCUUUAUUAGAGGUGGCGGUUGCAUCGGAU
rnacentral:misc_RNA from 1 species